rnacentral:lncRNA from 1 species
CAAGUAAUGACAGCAAACCUCUUUGACAACAAACCACAAAGUGUCUUAUAUAAAUUUUAUAACAGCAAACAAUAACGUGAGCACUUAACACACAAGCUGAAAUCUAACUUAACACAACCAAAACCAUUUUGAAACUUAUCCAGUAACUUAAGGAUGAACUAAAAAUAUACAAAUGUAUUAGAGUCUAAUUGGUCACCUAAAACUUCCAAACAAUG